GGGGUAGUAGCGCAGUGGUAGAACUUCCGCCUUGUACGCGGGAAGACCUGGGUUCGAUUCCUGGCUACUUUC
rnacentral:tRNA from 1 species